rnacentral:rRNA from 1 species
CGGCGGACGGGUGAGUAACGCGUGGGUAACCUGCCUUACACUGGGGGAUAACAGUUAGAAAUGACUGCUAAUACCGCAUAAGCGCACAGUAUCGCAUGAUACAGUGUGAAAAACUCCGGUGGUACAAGAUGGACCCGCGUCUGAUUAGCUAGUUGGUAAGGUAACGGCUUACCAAGGCGACGAUCAGUAGCCGACCUGAGAGGGUGACCGGCCACAUUGGGACUGAGACACGGCCCAA